AGAGUUUGAUCAUGGCUCAGGACGAACGCUGGCGGUGUGCUUAAUACAUGCAAGUCGAGCGAAGAGGCCCUUUCGGGGGUACUUCAGCGGCGGACGGCUGAGUAAUGCAUAGGUAACGUGCCCUUCACUGGGGGAUAACACCGGGAAACUGGUGCUAAUACCGCAUAAGUGCCGAGUUGAAAUACUCGUCAUUAAAGAAUUUCGGUAAGGGAUCGGCCUGUGUCGGAUUAGCUUGUUGGUGGGGUAAUGGCCUACCAAGGCGACGAUCCGUAGUUGGUCUGAGAGGAUGACCAGCCAGAGUGGGACUGAGACACGGCCCACACUCCUACGGGAGGCAGCAGUAGGGAAUAUUGCGCAAUGGGCGAAAGCCUGACGCAGCAACACCGCGUGUAGGAUGAAGGUUUUCGGAUCGUAAACUACUGUCGGCAGGGAAUACAAUGACUGUACCUGCAAAGGAAGCAUCGGCUAACUACGUGCCAGCAGCCGCGGUAAUACGUAGGAUGCAAGCGUUGUCCGGAAUUAUUGGGCGUAAAGAGUUCGUAGGUGGUUAUCUAAGUCUGGUGUUAAAGCCCGGAGCUCAACUCCGGCAUGGCAUUGGAAACUGGAUGGCUAGAGUGUGAAAGAGGUAACUGGAAUUCCUGGUGUAGCGGUGAAAUGCGCAGAUAUCAGGAGGAACACCCGUGGCGAAAGCGAGUUACUGGUUCACUACUGACGCUGAGGAACGAAAGCCAGGGUAGCAAAAGGGAUUAGAUACCCCUGUAGUCCUGGCCGUAAACGAUGGAUACUAGGUGUUGGAGGUUUCGACCCCUUCAGUGCCGUAGCUAACGCGAUAAGUAUCCCGCCUGGGGAGUACGACCGCAAGGUUGAAACUCAAAGGAAUUGACGGGGACCCGCACAAGCGGUGGAACAUGUGGUUUAAUUCGAUGCAACGCGAAGAACCUUACCUGGGCUUGACAUCUAGAGAACCUUCCAGAGAUGGGAGGGUGCCGCAAGGAACUCUAAGACAGGUGGUGCACGGUUGUCGUCAGCUCGUGUCGUGAGAUGUUGGGUUAAGUCCCGCAACGAGCGCAACCCUCGUGGUCUGUUGUUACAGAGCGUAAGCUGCUGAACCCUCAGGCCAGACUGCCGGUGAUAAACCGGAGGAAGGUUGGGAUGACGUCAAAUCAUCACGCCCCUUAUGUCCAGGGCUACACACGUGUUACAAUGGGAAGAGGACAAUGGGCAGCUUGGCAGCGAUGUCUGGCAAAUCCUGAAACCUCCCCUCAGUUCGGAUCGGAGUCUGCAACUCGACUCCGUGAAGUCGGAAUCGCUAGUAAACGCAGAUCAGCACGCUGCGUUGAAUACGUUCCCGGGUCUUGUACACACCGCCCGUCACACCACGAAAGAAGGUAAUGCCCGAAGUCGGUAUCCUAACCCUCGGGAGGGGGCCGCCUAAGGUAGUGCUUUUGAUUGGGGUGAAGUCGUAACAAGGUA
rnacentral:rRNA from 1 species